GCGAACAGGGACCAGCCUGCAAGAGAUAACUAGUGUGUUAGUGGAACGCUCUGGAAAGUGCGGCCAUAGUGGGUGAUAGCCCCGUACGCGAAAACACAUUAGCGAGACUGAGCUUGCGACAAGUAGGGCGGGACACGUGAAAUCCUGUCUGAAGAUGGGGGGACCAUCCUCCAAGGCUAAAUACUCGUAAUCGACCGAUAGUGAACCAGUACCGUGAGGGAAAGGCGAAAAGAACCCCGGGAGGGGAGUGAAAUAGAUCCUGAAAACCGCAUGCAUACAAACAGUGGGAGCCUCGCAAGGGGUGACUGCGUACCUUUUGUAUAAUGGGUCAGCGACUUACGUUCUGUAGCGAGCUUAACCGAAUAGGGGAGGCGUAGCGAAAGCGAGUCUGAUAAGGGCGCUUUAGUUGCAGGGCGUAGACCCGAAACCAGAUGAUCUAUCCAUGGCCAGGAUGAAGGUGCCGUAACAGGUACUGGAGGUCCGAACCCACUAAUGUUGAAAAAUUAGGGGAUGAGCUGUGGAUAGGGGUGAAAGGC
rnacentral:rRNA from 1 species